GGAUUGUAGUCUGCAACUCGACUACAUGAAGCUGGAAUCGCUAGUAAUCGCGGAUCAGAAUGCCGCGGUGAAUACGUUCCCGGGUCUUGUACACACCGCCCGUCACACCAUGGGAGUCGGAAAUGCCCGAAGUCUGUGACCGAACCGAAAGGAAGGAGCAGCCGAAGGCAGGUCGGAUGACUGGGGUGAAGUCGUAACAAGGUAAC
rnacentral:rRNA from 1 species